CUGACCAGACACACUCUCCCAAAGUCAAUAAUCAGAGAUACAGCGCUACACGCCCCUCUGUGCUCCCUUCAGAGCAAUCACCCAUUCAUAAUCCCAUAACCACCGUGUCUGUCCCCCGACUGAGACCGUUUAAACCAAACGCUAACAAAAGAGGUGCUAUACUAAACAACCUAAUUGGAAUUAAAACAACCACUGCAACGAUAGAACAGAAUAGGAAAAUCAAAUGUGGACUAUUAAAUAUUAGAUCUCUGUCAUCGAAAGCAUUAUUGGUAAACGAAUUGAUAUCAGAUAACCACAUUGACUUAUUCUGCCUCACCGAAACCUGGCUGGGCCAUGACGAAUAUGUUAGUUUAAACGAAGCCACUCCUCCCAGUCAUAAUAAUACCCAAAUUCCACGAGGCUCAGGCCGAGGAGGGGGAGUUGCAGCCAUAUUUGACUCGAGCCUGUUAAUUAAUCCUAAACCUAAACUAAAUUAUAACUCGUUUGAAAGCCUUGUUCUUAAUCUUCAACACCCAACAUGGAAAACAGUACAGCCAAUUAUAUUCGUUGUUGUUUACCGAGCACCAGGUCCAUAUUCUGAGUUUUUAUCUGAAUUCUCAGAGUUUUUAUCAUGCAUAGUCCUUCAAUCAGACAAAGUACUUAUUGUAGGUGAUUUUAAUAUCCAUGUGGACAUUGAGAGCAAUAGCCUUAGUACUGCUUUCAAUUCACUGCUAGAUUCUAUUGGUUUCAGUCAGAGGGUGCAUAAGGCCACGCACUGUUUUAACCACACCCUCGACCUUGUGCUAGAAUAUGGCAUCAAAAUUGACGAUUUAAUAGUAUUUCCGCAGAAUCCUUUAUUAUCAGACCAUUUUUUAAUAACUUUCGAAUUCCUACUACCAGACUAUACGAAAUUAAAUAAAAGUUUCUACACUAGAUGCUUAUCUGACAGUGCUAUAGCUAAAUUUAAGGAAGCUAUUCCAACAGCACUUAACUCAAUGUCAUGCCUUAAUAUAACAGAGGACUGUUAUGUUAACUCUAGUCCCUCCC
rnacentral:lncRNA from 1 species